GAAAUGCGAUAAGUAGUGUGAAUUGCAGAAUUCAGUGAAUCAUCGAAUCUUUGAACGCACAUUGCGCCUCCUGGUAUUCCGGGAGGCAUGCCUGUCCGAGCGCCAUGCAAAAACAUAAACCUUGCCCAGUGAUUUUCUUUGGGUCUAGGUUUGCUUUUGAGGGAUGAGCCUUGCAUCUAGCUUCGCUCCCCCUCGAAUUUCAGAGGCGAACUGAAAUGAAAUCUCACCGCGGGUUGGGGCAGUAGUAAUGGAAUUGUAAAUUUCUCGCCUCGCCCAUCCCGCGCUAACGUUAUCAUGACACUUCGGCCGAUCAAACCCCCCCUUUUACUUCUGUUUUUGACCUCGGAUCAGGUAGGGAUACCCGCUGAACUUAA
rnacentral:misc_RNA from 1 species